GAUUAUGCAUGGCAUGGGUGGAAAGGUGAGUAAGUGGUGAAUCAAUGAGUGCAAGGAAGUGGAAUGGUGCAGCAAAUGAGUGCAAGGAGGGAACAUGGAUGAAUGUGCACGACAUUGAGUGAUUUAUGGCAGAAAAUACAAAAGGAAUGUGCACAACAUGGAGUGAUAAGGCAAGUUUGACUAGUCUUUCCUCAUUCUUAAUGGUUUCCU
rnacentral:lncRNA from 1 species